rnacentral:ncRNA from 1 species
GUAGAGUAGGUGUCUAUGCGUUAAGUGCCGUCUGAACGGGGAGUUGUCAGACGGACGAAAAGUGUCUCGCCACUUGCGGUAUAGAUGUCGCAUCCCGCUA